rnacentral:pre_miRNA from 2 species
UCUUAUGAAGGAGUAAAGAAAGUAGUUUCUUGAGAUGGAAUCUGCUCCUGGUGAAGAUGCUGUAAA